rnacentral:tRNA from 1 species
GUUUUGAUAGUUUAAUAUAAAACUUUGGUCUUGUAAACCAAAAAUGAAAUUAUUUCUCUCAAACCU